GGGGCCGCCGGCGGCGGCGGCGGCGGCGGCGGGGGCGGAGCGGCUGCCUCGGCCGCUGCUCCCGCGGGUGGACUGGCAGCAGCCUCGGCCCGGUCGUUCGCCCGGCCUCGGGACGCGGGGCCCGGGGCCUCGCCCCUCGGCGCCGAUGGAGACGAGGCGCCGCCGCCGCCCGGGAGCGCGCCCUGGGGCCGCCCUGCCCGCGCCGCACGGCCCCCGGCGUGCAGGCUGCCCCGCACCGCUCCUCCCGGGGCCCGGAGCACCGGGGCCUGUCCCCGGGGGCGGCAGAGCAGCUUGGGGCUGUCCAGAUGCCCGCGCCAGGGACUUGCUGGUACCGCCCCAGAUUUCACUCAGUCUUUCUGCCGGCUAAUUCAACACAGUGAUUCAAUUAGGCAACAUUUAUAUCUCUGGAUUGCUAUGGCAAUCAUAUUCGCAUUAAAAAAAAAAGUUUGUACAGGAACCUCCCAAAGGAAUAAAAUAAAGACUAUAAAAGACUCAGCAUUUGGAGCCUUUCGGGUCAGUUUGUAUAAAUGGGAGUAAAGAAAAUGGCACGACUGAGUUGUUUGAGACCAAGUUGUGUCUGACAAAGACUGUUCCAGACUACAGUUUGAACUCCCUUGAAAGGGACUCGGAGGGCUGCCUUUGUGACACUUCUCUGAGACAGCAGUCUGUUCUCUCCUCCACACCAUUCUGGGUUGGCAGCUGUCUUCUUCCUGAGUCUCGGAAGAAAGGCUGACCGAACAUUCCAUUCCUUCCACUGAUAGAGCUGUUUUUGUUGUUGUCAUUGUUGUUUGCCUUUUUAGAGCCGCACCCUCUGCAUAUGGAGGUUCCCAGGCUUGGGGUCCAAUUGGAGCUGCACCUGCCAGCCUACACCACAGCCACAGCCACACAGGAUCCAAGCCCCGUCUGCGACCUCCACCACAGCUCAUGGCAACGCUGGAUCCUUAACCCACUGAGCAAGGCCAGGGAUCAAACCCAUGUCCACGUGGAUGAUAGUCAGGUUUGUUAACUGCUGAGCCACGUUGGGAACUCCAUUGAUAGAGUUUUUAAUUGAGCAUAUGAGUGUGAGACCCUGUGUAUGAACAGAUCCAUUGAGCUAUUUAGAUUUAGGUUUGGUCCUCAAACUGCUUAUAACCUGGAG
rnacentral:lncRNA from 9 species